rnacentral:rRNA from 1 species
GACGAACGCUGGCGGCGUGCUUAACACAUGCAAGUCGAACGGAAAGGCCCUGCUUUUGUGGGGUGCUCGAGUGGCGAACGGGUGAGUAACACGUGAGUAACCUGCCCUUGACUUUGGGAUAACUUCAGGAAACUGGGGCUAAUACCGGAUAGGAGCUCCUGCUGCAUGGUGGGGGUUGGAAAGUUUCGGCGGUUGGGGAUGGACUCGCGGCUUAUCAGCUUGUUGGUGGGGUAGUGGCUUACCAAGGCUUUGACGGGUAGCCGGCCUGAGAGGGUGACCGGCCACAUUGGGACUGAGAUACGGCCCAGACGCCUACGGGAGGCAGCAGUGGGGAAUAGUGCACGAUGGGCGGAAGCCUGAUGCAGCAACGCCGCGUGCGGGAUGACGGCCUUCGGGUUGGAAACCGCUUUCGCCUGUGACGAAGCGUGAGUGACGGUAAUGGGUAAAGAAGCACCGGCUAACUACGU